CUCGAUUGCUUUUAAUUCUUCUUAUGGAUGUAUAGGAUUUCUCUGCUAUAUUCAGGGUAUUAAUUCUUUGUCAGUUACAUAUGUUGAAUGUGCAUCUGUGACUUGCUUUUAAAUUUUUUUUUUUUUUUUUGCUGCCCAGUUCUCAGUUGUUGCAAGCCACUGGCUGCCUUCUUCUGGACACACUUAAUUUUUCAGAUCAUGGCAAUGACAUGGUGAAAACAGCUUGGAGGUGAAUUUUGAAAGGCCUGUGUGAGUAAAUGUUCCUUGACUCUAAAUAUCUGUCGUAGGCUCAGGAAUGUGUUCUUACAAAAGAAUCUGUGAAGGACCUGUUUUGCUUACUCAAGGAUCUCAUUUGCUAAUAUAAUUCUGUGGUGAAAGCAAAAGAACCAGGUGUAAGUGGAAAAAAAACCUUAGUCACUAAGGCUUGUUUGGGCUGCUCAGUGAUGAACACUGGGGUGACAGGUUCUCCUGCCAUGGUGAAUCCUGGCAAGAUUCGUCUGGCUCUCCGGACAUUAUGCAGCCCCAGCAUAUGUGGGAGGACGCCUGAAAGAAGUUUCGUCCUCAGGGGUCUCUCCUCUCCACCUACACACCUUGGAGAGCCUUCACCAGGGUGUGAUGGUGGGAAGUCUGGGACGCAUUCAUCAGAAGAUGCCAGGAGCAGUGGAGCACCACUGGCAGAAGAACCUGCCUCCGUGCUCCUUCAAAGGCCACAGACCCAUGAGAACCAUUCACUGUAGCCUGAGCCACAUGCCUAGAGGCCACAGCAGUGCACAGGAAAGUGAGGGGAAGUGGAAACGUGCGAGCAGACGGCUCAAAGCAACGGGCUCACCACCGGAAAAAAAAAAUAAAAAUAAACACGCUCAGAAAUAGUGUAACUGA
ensembl:lncRNA